rnacentral:misc_RNA from 1 species
GAUGAAGAAUGCAGCGAAAUGCGAUAAGUAAUGUGAAUUGCAGAAUUCAGUGAAUCAUCGAAUCUUUGAACGCACAUUGCGCCCGCCAGUAUUCUGGCGGGCAUGCCUGUCCGAGCGUCAUUUCAACCAUCAAGCCCCGGGCUUGUGUUGGGGACCUGCGUCCGACGCAGGCCCCGAAAACCAGUGGCGGGCUCGCUGUCCACACCGAGCGUAGUAGCUAACCUCGCUCCGGAGUGGCGCGGGCGCCUGCCGUAAAACCCCCCAAUUUUACAAGGUUGACCUCGGAUCAGGUAGGAAUACCCGCUGAACUUAAGCAUAUCAAUAAGCGGAGGA